AACUCUCAACCAUACAAGUUGCUAAAACUUGGUAUGGAUUGGAAUCUGGGAUUGUGCGGGCUUGUCUUCACAUGAGUCGGCUAUCCUUAAAUGCAUUAGCAAAGCCCUUUGCGACUUGUCUUUGGUGUGAUAAUUAUCUACGCCAUUGAAGAGCUUGCAUUUAUGAAGGUCUUGCUUCUAAUUGUCUUUUGAAGGACAGCAUUUCAAC
rnacentral:misc_RNA from 1 species